GACGAACGCUGGCGGCGUGCUUAACACAUGCAAGUCGAACGGAAAGGCCCUGCUUUUGUGGGGUGCUCGAGUGGCGAACGGGUGAGUAACACGUGAGUAACCUGCCCUUGACUUUGGGAUAACUUCAGGAAACUGGGGCUAAUACCGGAUAGGAGCUCCUGCUGCAUGGUGGGGGGUGGAAAGUUUCGGCGGUUGGGGAUGGACUCGCGGCUUAUCAGCUUGUUGGUGGGGUAGUGGCUUACCAAGGCUUUGACGGGUAGCCGGCCUGAGAGGGUGACCGGCCACAUUGGGACUGAGAUACGGCCCAGACUCCUACGGGAGGCAGCAGUGGGGAAUAUUGCACAAUGGGCGGAAGCCUGAUGCAGCAACGCCGCGUGCGGGAUGCCGGCCUUCGGGUUGUAAAACGCUUUCGCCUGUGACGAAGCGUGAGUGACGGUAAUGGGUAAAGAAGCACCGGCUAACUACGUG
rnacentral:rRNA from 1 species